GCACUGCAGAGGAGUCCUGCAAUAGGACGAAACGGCCGUUCAGUAC
rfam:Schistosoma rodhaini strain Burundi genome assembly, scaffold: SROB_scaffold0005136